UCAGGAUUUCUAUGAAUAGUUUUGUUUGUGUGAUAUUUGGCCAUGUGAUUGUAUGAUAACAAGAUUUAUGUUCAUUGUUGUAUUGUUAAAUAAUGACCUGUAUUCCCAAUGAGACCCACAAGGUGGAUGCCAUUUCAGUAUUAUGAGCCCGUUGUGGUUUUUCCCUCUAUUCAAGAGUUUUCCACAACGGUAGAUGGUGUUGAUCCUAAUUUGACUAUGUUUUCGGUGUGGUAAAUGGUGUUUAUGGUUUAAAAUAUUAUUGUAUGGUCAUCUGAGAUGACCAAGGAGGGACUGUUACGUAUUUUAAGAAUCUAAGCUACCCACACAUAGACCCAAUGAAGACCAAACAUAUUAGCCGUAAAUACCAUACAUAGCCACAAGGGGAGCCUUACUGAAGGCUGCAAUAGAUACUUUAUCCACAGAGGGCAGCACCACAGACCAAGCGAGGAUAACCGAGGAUUACGUCCCACCGGUUUUCUCCAAGUCUUCCGGUCCUCCGAGUCCAUAAGAAAGCCUCCACAUCGUGGAGACAGGUAGAACUCUCCCGGUAGCGAUAGGACAUGCGUGGGUUGAUGUCUUAGACCAGCUAGGAGAACACUCUCGCACGUGCUAAGGCACAUCUUCAAUCUCUCUUAACUUCAGAGCAUCAGUUUACCAUACCGAAAAUACUUUAUACAAAUAAAGUCUCUUUAAAGCUAUUCCUUUGGAUUCGACCCCUCUUUCCUUGAAGAACAUUACAAUGCCCAAAACCACUAGGUAGCAAAAUCAGGAAGCAGAAAUCGGCAGAACACGUGUUCGUCAACUAGCUCUAGAAUAUUUAGUUGCCGGGAGAUCUGUUCGGGAUUUAGUUGUUGAGCGAACCUUGUAUUGCAACGGAGAUUUGUUAGUGAACGUGUUAUCACUGCUCUAUAAAGGUGUCCGGCCGCCAUCCCCUAUUCACGUGCUUUUGUGUAUUGGAGAACCGGCUCAGCAAGCUGCAGUCUGCAACAAUAUAUAUAUAUAAGCUUCAUUGGUUGACUGGCUAACUACUAGUUAAAACGAGCAGUGUUGGUAUGGAAACGGUGGUGCUAUUGUGUUUUCUCUGCAACAAGUUCUAGCUUGUUGCAGAAAGGUGUUUCGCCCAGAGUUGGUGUCGAGCCGCCUCAAAGGUUAGCCUUGUUUCGCUUGAAGAGUUGUAACCACGUCUUGUAAACAAGCUUAAAGAGUAGGACAUGGAUCGGCAUAUCAUUUUGUGGUGGUGUACAAAAAUAUGAUAAUUGUUCCCUAAUAGUCAGCAUGUUCGCAUAAUUUAUCUGGAGGGAUAUCGAUUGCCAAUGCCUCUCUUGUUUAAACUCACCUUCAAACUUUUGGAGUGGGCUGAGGGGGCAUGUUUCAAGACCUCUGCCAUCAGAAGCUCCACCUCCUUCUCUUCCAGACCGGCUUCCAUUUCAUGAUCGCCUCUGUAAUUAGAUUGAAUUUGUGAUCAAAAGUUAGGCAUGUCACCAACACUCAGGGGGCACAUUCUCAAAAAUGUUUUUUCCUGAAAUCUAUUCAUCUCUUGAGGAUAUUUUUGUGUGAUAGUAAGUUGGAACUUGUUGCUUUGUGAUUUCAUUCAUUAAAAAUGAAUGGGAUUGUAUGGAUUCAGAUGUAUAUAGGUCUGUAUAAUAGAAAGAAAACUGAUCAACUGUGAGGACAAUAAAGAUAUAAUUUUUUUUUUUAUAAUUUUUUCUGCAAUGAUGCAAACCAAAACACGACAGUAUAAUUCAUACACAUGUAUAUUAGUUAUGCACUUCUUGCAUCUGAAUCCAGACAAUUAUGCAAUAUAGCACGAGUAGCCACGAGGACUUAUACAACAACUCCACUGUCAGCUAAUUAACUUUAAAUUGUAUUAAAAUGUCAGAGUGGGGAUGUCCGAGUGCUAGUGAAGACCCCCUGUGGCUCAUGGACUGUAUAACAUAGUUGUGAUGCAACAGGAGAUAUGUCUGAACAGUCCUUACACUUAGCCUCUAUAUGUACCAGCUGCAUGCCUCUGUCAAUUGUAACUGCAUGAUGUGUACAAAUGUGAUGUCAAAAUGACUUGCACUAUUUUAAUUCCCUAUCAGGUUUAAUUCAAAUCCAGUACUGUUGCAUUUCAGCAAAAGCACAAGGGUGAAAGUCUUUGGUCCCCUUCAACUCCUGAGCAACAACAGCAGUGGCAUCUUCCCCUUCUUUCCCCUAAGGCUGUAGCUGCUCCAAACAAAGUUUGAGGCCACAGAGCGCAACACCCUCCUCACACACUCCCCAGGAUUGGACCCCCCAACUAGGCUCAGAUGGGAAAUCUAAGGAAAUCAAACAACCAUGGUUAAGGCAAGUAUUUGCAUUGUAUUUUUCAUGUGGUGUUGGUGGUGUCUUCUUUUGAGGGGGGGUAACCAAAUUAAGGUAUUUGAAGAUGGACUGCUCAUCUCUUAACUACUUAGCUAACAACAGGGAACUAAAGAUGAAAAAAGCUCAAUGGCAGGGCCAUGUGGCACACUUGGUGGCAUGUGUACAAUAUAGCCUGAAGUCACUUCACCAUUAUUCGUACAUUUACCAUUUUUUUUGUGAAAUCUCUAUUUUUAAGGUGCUCCUCGAGUUCCUGUAGUUCGGCCUGAGUUUGCGCCUGCAGUAACUCGACACUAGCUUCCCCAGGGUCCCCAUGUCGAUUUGCCCUUAGCAAUAAUAGAGCCUCUCUCUGAUUCUGCUCAACAGUCUCAAGCUUUCGGAGCAGAACCUCCAAUGUCGCUGUAAAAAAAAUGUUGAUGAGUGUAUUUAGUCUAAGUUGGUGUCAUUUGCAUACAGUUCAAUACAUGUAUUACCGUUGAUAUUCUUUGCCCAGAUUGGUAUGGUUUCUCUCUCUCUUCGGUCACCUAAGUAAUGUAAGGUGACCAGAUUUCUGAAAUGAAAAUCUGGGACAUUUUCAAUGCGGCGGUGAAAAAUCAUUAAAUAUUAUCAUUAUGAAAUAAAAAAUGGGGACAAGUACUUUUUCAUGUAUUUUAACCAGCUUUUAUUACACAAAAGGUCAGAGGCGCCAUUAGGGGGCGAAAAGUAAGGACAAUUCUGAGGGCCCGUGACUGACGGGGGCCCUGAAAAAAAAAUUGGAACAUUAGUUAUGCUAAUAAAAAAACAUCAUUAAUGGAUUUUAAUAGAAAAUCAAAUUUAUAAUUAAACAAACACUUAAUCAGUAUGCAGAAUGUUUCCUGCAUGUCUUCACAGUGUUAUAUUAUCACAGCUCAGUGUCAGUAGAUAUUGUAAAGUUAGUAUCAGACUAUAAGAUAAUUGAAGCCUUCACAGGUAGAGGUGUGGUUACAGAAACUGCACAUGGUUGCCGUUGCCUGUGUGUGAUGGUGGGACCCAGUGUGAUAUCUUUUCAUGGGGCCGAACAUCCCUGGUGGCGCCCCUGCAAAAAAGGUUAAUAAAUCAAAGUAUCAGCACCCACAAAUAUCAUGUAUCAGUAGUGCACAGCAGUGUCAAAAACACAAAUAUGUCAUGUGCAAAGACAGCUGCCAGACCAGUAGCUAGUAAAUAUCAUCAAGAUGUAAUUAAUAAUAAUUACCAACCAAGUCAAAACAUAUAAAAAGAUGUAAGUGGAUCACUUAAUGUGUGCCACUGGAAACUGUGGGCCUGGCCCAAAUAGUACAAAAAAGUCACAACAAGAAAAUACAUCUCUAGUAAGAAGGCUGUACACAAAAGGUUACAAUCAAACAAAGAACAAAUGGGUGACAUCACCAACCAUCCAUCCACUGAGGAAGACAAAAAAUAUCUUAGUCUUGUUAGCUUGAGUUAGGAUGGAUUUUUUGGUCAAAAGUUUCUACUCACAACUGAAUACUGAACUGAUAUUUAUGACACAAAAGGUGGCAAUCAAAAAAAUGGGUGACAUUACCGUGAUCCCCUCAUUCAUCCACCUCCGCCUCAGGAGCCUGGGUAGAAUAAGAGCAGAGAACAUGAGAAAAACUGCAAGAACAGAGCCAAUAGUAAUAGGCUACUGACAUUAAAAUCAGUGACUCAGGGCAUCAGCUAAUCAAAUGGUCUGCAUUUAUAACUACUACAGUCAUUGGUUACCCACACAGCCCGACACAAAAAACAGCAGCCUAACACACACAACUAUCAACCAUUGACUUAUUAUUAAUUAAUUUAUUAUUAAUUAAUAAUAUCAUUAUUAUUAUUUUAACAGUCUCAGGUCCCUAUGCCUACAGGAAAAUCAUAUGCUACCAAAGCAGUCUUCCACUUCCCCCUCUUCCAAAACAGAGGCACAUACAAUGUCAUCACCUGGUAAUCUCAUGCUAACGUUAACAUUACAGCUUCACUGGUAAUGACAGAUAUAAAAACAUUGUCAUAAUGUUAACGUUCACUGACUUUUAUAACGUUACGUUAGGUCUUCAGUUCAGAUAAACAAUCAUACUUAUUUUAAAGUUACAUCACUUCUCACACACGCGCACACACACACACAGCCAAGUCUACUGCCAAUUCACACAAAAUAAAUAAGUUCAUACACAACAUACCAUUUAUGACCGCUGAUCUUCUCUUUUUCCUUUUUGCCGCCUCUAGAUUGUUGUUGUUGACGCUUCUGCGUCUGGUUGUAUGUCCUGAUAACGUCUGUACGUCAUACGACGUCUUCUCUGGUGAUGCGUUAAAUGACUACCGUAAUAACUGGUAUUUGAGUCUGCGAGCAUUUUCCCACCAUUCAGUGUCAAAAUCGGGGACAUUUCCAGGGACAGCUUUGACCGGGGACAGAUCACCGAAAACGGGGACGUCUGGUCACCCUAAAGUAAUGUGUAUAAAGCAUAAUGUGUAGGGUUAGUAUAGACAGAUGACUGUCAUAACCUGUUGAUAAGAGUUACUAGUUUGGUUUUAACCACCCUCUCCACCCGCCACUUUACCGUCCCCAGUAGAGAUAGGCAAUGGCGUUUCAAAUGAAGAUGCGAUCGAAACAUCUGCAGAAAGUACAAAACAAUAAUUCAAUGUAAUUUUUUUGGUUUCAAACUCUUUGUUGUCUUGGCUCAUAGAAUUACUGUUAUGUCAUCAUCAUUCGUCAUCAUUACCAUACAUAACUUUACCAUCAUUUUCUGUAAAAACGUCUCUUGCCUGUGAAGGAGGGGAGUAAUCUACAGUAAGAACAAGAUAAGAAUUUAGGUUAUGUGUUUUUGUUUCGAACCAUAGUGUCUUCUUGACUUCUAUACAAUUAUUUGUAUUUGUUUUUAACCAUCAUUCCCUUGCAAAACUUUACCGUCAUCAGUCACAGGGGGUGAAGAUAUUUGUAGUGGGCUACGCCGUGGAAUGGGGGAUUCUAUCUGGGGUGGAGGAGGAAGGGAAGUCCUGAAAUGUGGACCUUGUCCUGCCUUUUUUCCAUUUUGUUUCUUUGUUUUCUUUUCACCUGAACAGAAUCAUAUUAGCCAAACGUAAAUAACAGUGUUACAUGUUUACACAUUGUUUAGAAUUGCUGCUUGCACUUUUAACACCAAGUUAAUACAGUACACAAGGAUGUGCAGAUAUACCGGUGUGAAUACAUUUUUGGGGUUUGACGAUGAUGCGCCUCCCUUUGUCCUCAUUUCCUGUCUCCACACAGGACUUUGUCUCCGCUCUCUUGAUCCUCCUGACGGCCUGAUCCCAAUCAUCUAAACCAGUGGUUUUCAAACUGUGGGGCGCGCCCCCCCUGGGGGGCGCCAGAGUUCUUCAGGGGGGGCGCGACGUGAGAAAAAAAUAAACCCGAAGAAAAACCUGAAAGUCGAUGAUUCAAAUCAUCAAUUGUACUUCAACUGUAGAAAUAACCUAACUAAAUCGAUUUUCAACCGUUUAUCUUCGUGCAAACCAUUUAACAAAUCUACACACUUGUAUCUUCAAUAAUAUCUAAACAGAAUUUCGAUAUCAUUUAAAAUUUCUUCAGAAUCACAGUUUUAGUUUCAUACCGCUUCGUUUUCAUUGAAGACGUCAGCCCAUUCUGAUACACCUACUUCUAGACAUCGUAAUUCAGUCGAAUCUCUAGACUGAAAAAGCAGAUCUGAUUCGACUCUGAAAAUUCAGAGUCGGGGACCCUGAAUGAACCUGUGUAAACUGGCAGUUUACACAGAUUAAGAUGUUCAAAUGUAUUUAAAAAAGGUUAAGCUAACACAUGCUUAGAUAAAGUUGUUAAAUUGUGUUAAGAAAUGUGUUUAAAAACGCACAAAGAUGUUUUAAUGUUUCAGAAAUAUGUUUAAAAUGUUAAAAAAAUAUGUUUGAAAUGUUUUAAAAUUAUGAUCAGAGAUGUUUAAAAUGUGUAAAAUAAUUAAGAUAGCUUUCAAAACACAGGUCUUUAGAACAUUAGGCUCAGCUGAAUUUUUUUCUCUGAGGGGGGGCUCACUCUCUUACACUUUGAAAACCCCUGAUCUAAACAGUCAGGUGGGCCAAAACAAUUAGAAAUUACACUCUUUUAAAUGUGUUGCAUAUCACCACUUGUUAUUUGUCGCCAGGGCUCUACAGUGCGCCCAUUUCACUCGCAUUUGCGAGUGAAUAUUUCGGCGUGCGAACGAGAAAAACAAAACAGGAGCACGCGUGCGAGUGACUUCUCCACAGCGCACUAUACUGUGCGUUCACACCAAACGCGAAGGGGCGAAACCAUAGACAUCAUAUAGGAUCCUAUAUGAUGUCUAUGGGCGAAACGAUUCCAUACAAAGCAGCGAUUCCAUUUGCAGCGCGACACUUUUGCCCGGCACGGGCGAGCGCGUUCACGUGGAUUUCAGGUGGAUUGAAAUAUUUAAACUUUGCCGCGACAUUCGCGUGAUGACAGCCAAUCAGCGUUCAACAGCGUGGCCACUGAGUGACGUGCGUUACGUAACAGCCAAUCAGUUUUCAACCGGCCAACCGCUCCCUGCAGUGCAGUCCGGGGUGAACCGCAGCAUGGAGGAGAAAGUGAUUGCUGCCGUUUGCGACUCCCCGAGCUCUAUAUAGAAUAGUAUAUAAUGUAAUAUUAUUGUAUUGUCUAUACAAUAUCACGGCCAAAAGCUCUGUGCUCCUCCGGAUAGCCGUAGCGCUGGUUUGUUUACCUACGUUGCUAUGGUUACCAGUCUUGUGUGUUCCAACGGUUUAUUAGGUAUCUAAAUCGCUGCCUAAUCAAUACUUCAUUCACUGCCUCUUCCGUGGUCAUUACAAUAUUAUGAAUAGACUGCGUGGAGAAAGUUAAUGCUGUUAUGGUAGACGAUAAAGUCUACAAAUUCAACCCCCGACUGGUUGAAGGAUUUCGGGUGGCUAGUUUAUGAUGCUAAGAACAUGAAAAUGUUCUGUACAUUUUGUAAGGAAGCCCCAUCGGCAAUGGCAGGCUCCUCUCUGUUUAUAACGGGGAACCCUAAUCUGAAACGAUGCUGUAGUGAAACACAUCGAGUCCACUAGGCAUUCUCGCUGCCCGAGUUCUAUAUAAAUCACACCCAGCCCAAUAACCCUGGUACGGUGGAAGCCGAAAUUGGUGCUGUUUUGUGUAGCCUGAAUGUAAUCUUGUCUAUUUAUUUGUCUUAAUUUUGCUUUAGUAAGUGGGUUCUGUUGGUGUGUGCAAUUUCUGCACGCUAAUAAAUGUUCUAAACAAAAACCUAUUGUGCCCCCAUUUUUUUUCCUGUGCUCCUACAUUUUUUAACUUAGGGGCACGAGUGCUCCUGAAAAAAAAAGUUAUCGUAGAGCCCUGUUUGUCGCCCAUUAACACACCUGUUGAGGAAAAUAUUUGUAUUGGCCUUUUUAGACAGGUUUUAGGAUCGGGCAAAUCUUUGUCCUUUGCCCUCUGUGUGGGCUUGUGGAGUGGCCAGUAGCUGCAUGUCUUCUGAAAUGGAAAACAAAAUAGUUUUGCAUAACUUGCAUAGAAUUUUUGACAUGAUUGACAUACAGGUUUUUCGCAUGAACUUACAUCUCCCUCUUUUAUAAUCCAAUUACUGGCCACUAUGCCAACAGUCCUUUCCCCCAAAAAUUAGACGAUGCUAUACAUUCUGUAAUCAAGAACAGAGAGGUUAAUUAAUACAGUAAAGAAUUAUUGUGUCUGUACAAGAAUUUGCAAUGAUAAUACACUGAGCAAAUGACAACAUACUGCAAUGUCAUGAAGAAUGGCCAUGAAGAGGAUUUUUUCCCCAACAGGAAUCUUGAUUGCCUUUCUUUUCAGGUUGUCUUUUUGGAUCCAUCUCAAAACGGUGUCAUUGUUCUUGUACUUCAGUACUCCGAUUUAAUGUGGAGUCACAAGGGACACUGAAAAGUGGUUCUGGGUGCUGGUAUACACGGCAAAGCUGGCUUCCAUCCCUCUCCUCUAUGACCUCACAGCAUUCGCGGCGAUUCAAAAUAAAAGAAGAAUUGGACCUCUGCCUACCAUGCUCCAUUGGCUGUCCAGCGCAUUCCUCAAGCCUUUUCACCACUUGUGACAGGGGGCAUCUUCCACUCCUUACCAUCCUCUUUAUUUUCUUGAGACAAUUUUCAAAUUUAAAAGCGCUACAAUUGUCCAAUCCUCCAAAGGUCACGGCAUCCUCCACAAUGUGCAACAUUGAGUGCACGUUGUAGACCAGAAACUGGUUACCAUAAAGUUCUCGGCCUCUCUCAACAAAGAAUCGGAGGAGAUCAGCAGCAUAUCUCCAGUGUUGCUCGACCAAUGCUGGACUUACAACUCUUUAAGAUCUCUCGGUUUGCGAGCGAAGCUGGAAGGGAUGUGUGGACGGAGGUUGGUGAGCCUGCUGCUGACCUCCUCUAUUUGGGUUGCCGACGUCUUCAGGCCCUUCACUCCUCUGCACCACAUGAAGAGAAGCCUCUUCAUUACACCCAGUACCGGUUCUUUCAAUACGCACACUACGCACGUUGCGUAGGGCCCCGCAAAUUUAUUAUUUAUAAAAAAAAAAAAAACUGACAACGUAAC